rnacentral:tRNA from 1 species
GGCCCCAUCGUCUAGUGGUUAGGACAUCAGCCUCUCACGUUGGUAACCCGGGUUCAAGUCCCGGUGGGGUCGCCA